rnacentral:rRNA from 1 species
ACGUAGGUGGCAAGCGUUACUCGGAAUUACUAGGCGUAAAGCGUUCGUAGGCGGAAGUUUAAGUCUGCUGUGCAAUCUCCGGGCUCAACCCGGAAACUGCAGCAGAAACUGGAUUUCUUGAGUGAGGCAGAGGAAGAUGGAAUUCCUGGUGUAGCAGUGAAAUGCGUAGAUAUCAGGAGGAACACCGGUGGCGAAGGCGGUCUUCUGGGCCUUUACUGACGCUAAAGAACGAAAGCUAGGGGAGCAAACGG